AGGGACCCGGUGAUUAAAAACUCAGGAGUCGACAGAGUGCUAGAGACAGCUGGUCCUGCUGUGCUAUAGGCGACGUGACACAAAAGGGGGUCUACGUGCCAGAGUUACAGAGGAGGUGGAGAGGACACAAACAAAGGGGGUCCGUGCCCAGGACAAGACGGGGUCCUGCCAGAAAGUCUCGCCGCAGGUCUUGCAAAGGUUGCAACGGACCGGUUUGGGUUCCCAGCAGAUUUACGAAACCUGUGAUAGACGAAGGAGCGACUGUGGACAAAGACUAUGCUCAGAAUCGGACAGACAACUCUGCGCAAAAUUGUCCUAUUGAUCAUGAUAAUUGCUGAAGGGUCUACAAUGUUGUCUCAGAUUGAUACUCAACAGAAUAUGUGGGUUACAUGGGCUAACGAAACUAACCAGCGUACCUUUUGUUUGUCUCUAGCCUCAGGAAGUGAUCCCUUCCGGACGUGUCUGUUUGGGGUGCCUAUAGGAACUCCAAAGGAAUUGGUCAAGCUGUUAGGCCCGUACUCAACUUCGCUUACUCUCUUAAGUGGGUCCUUCUCGAGCAACCUCUCAGACGGAGUGGUUGCUGCACUGCAACAUCUUAAUAUUUCGUUGCCAUGGGAUCCACAAGAAUUAGAUUUGUUAGGGUCAGUAGCAGUAGGAAACACUAGUGAUAAUUGGACACAAACCUGUUUUAUACUAAAUAAAGGUAAACAAAAUAAGACUCAUUGGACGAACAUAACGUCUAGAACUUUAGGGUUUAACGCCAACGGUAAUUAUUGUGGGUGGAAUAACUCCAAUAAUAGUGAGCCACUUGGGGCCUAUGGAGUAAAUGAUCACAACUCAAUGUGGCCCAUGAGUGCCCCUAAGGCACUGCCUCCUGGUAUUUUUCUAAUUUGUGGUGACAGAGCAUGGCAAGGUGUGCCAGGAAAUGCUUAUGGGGGACCUUGUUAUAUAGGACGCCUAACACUCUUUGCCCCUGACUUACAUGAUCAGCGUUGGUCAAAUCUGACUGCAGCAAUCAGACAUAGAAGAAGUGAGAAUCGUCGAGGCAAGCGUGAAUUGAAAAAACUAGGUUCAGAUUGCGCUGAUGAUGUAGAAUUAUGGGGGCCUGCGGAAAGGUUUUUCGCCGCAGCUUUAGCUCCUAACGUUGCAGUUGCGCAUGCCAUGUCUAAUCUAAAUAAACUUGCUUGUUGGGCUGUUAAACAAUCAAA